rnacentral:rRNA from 1 species
UACGGAGGAUGCGAGCGUUAUCCGGAUUUAUUGGGUUUAAAGGGAGCGUAGGUGGACUGGUAAGUCAGUUGUGAAAGUUUGCGGCUCAACCGUAAAAUUGCAGUUGAUACUGUCAGUCUUGAGUACAGUAGAGGUGGGCGGAAUUCGUGGUGUAGCGGUGAAAUGCUUAGAUAUCACGAAGAACUCCGAUUGCGAAGGCAGCUCACUAGACUGCAACUGACACUGAGGCUCGAAAGUGUGGGUAUCAAAC